GAUGAACGCUGGCGGCGUGCCUAAUACAUGCAAGUCGAGCGAACAGACGAGGAGCUUGCUCCUCUGACGUUAGCGGCGGACGGGUGAGUAACACGUGGAUAACCUACCUAUAAGACUGGGAUAACUUCGGGAAACCGGAGCUAAUACCGGAUAAUAUAUUGAACCGCAUGGUUCAAUAGUGAAAGACGGUUUUGCUGUCACUUAUAGAUGGAUCCGCGCCCCAUUAGCUAGUUGGUAAGGUAACGGCUUACCAAGGCGACGAUGCGUAGCCGACCUGAGAGGGUGAUCGGCCACACUGGAACAGAGACACGGUCCAGACUCCUACGGGAGGCAGCAGUAGGGAAUCUUCCGCAAUGGGCGAAAGCCUGACGGAGCAACGCCGCGUGAGUGAUGAAGGUCUUCGGAUCGUAAAACUCUGUUAUUAGGGAAGAACAAAUGUGUAAGUAACUAUGCACGUCUUGACGGUACCUAAUCAGAAAGCCACGGCUAACUACGUG
rnacentral:rRNA from 1 species